GAUGAACGCUAGCUACAGGCUUAACACAUGCAAGUCGAGGGGCAGCGGUAUCGGAAGCUUGCUUUCGGUAGCCGGCGACCGGCGCACGGGUGAGUAACGCGUAUCGAACCUGCCUCAUACUCGGGAAUAGCCUUCGAAAGUAAGAUUAAUGCCCGGUGUUUUCAGAGUCCCGCAUGAGGCUUUGAACAAAGAUUUAUCGGUAUGAGAUGGCGAUGCGUCCCAUUAGCUUGUUGGCGGGGUAACGGCCCACCAAGGCAUCGAUGGGUAGGGGUUCUGAGAGGAAGGUCCCCCACAUUGGAACUGAGACACGGUCCAAACUCCUACGGGAGGCAGCAGUGAGGAAUAUUGGUCAAUGGGCGGAAGCCUGAACCAGCCAAGUAGCGUGCAGGAAGACGGCCCUCCGGGUUGUAAACUGCUUUUAGUUGGGAAUAAAACGGGGCUCGUGAGCCCCCUUGCAUGUACCAUCAGAAAAAGGACCGGCUAAUUCCGUG
rnacentral:rRNA from 1 species